rnacentral:rRNA from 1 species
UACGUAGGGGGCUAGUGUUAUCCGGAAUUACUGGGCGUAAAGGGUGCUUAGGUGGUUUCUUAAGUCAGAGGUGAAAGGCUACGGCUCAACCGUAGUAAGCCUUUGAAACUGGGAAACUUGAGUGCAGGAGAGGAGAGUGGAAUUCCUAGUGUAGCGGUGAAAUGCGUAGAUAUUAGGAGGAACACCAGUUGCGAAGGCGGCUCUCUGGACUGUAACUGACACUGAGGCACGAAAGCGUGGGGAGCAAACAGGAUUAGAUACCCUGGUAGUCCCUGAG